AGUAAUACAUCGGAACGUGUCUUCUAGUGGGGGAUAACUGCCCGAAAGGGCAGCUAAUACCGCAUGAGACCUGAGGGUGAAAGCGGGGGAUCGCAAGACCUCGCGCUGGAAGAGCGGCCGAUGUCCGAUUAGCUAGUUGGUGAGGUAAAGGCUCACCAAGACGACGAUCGGUAGCUGGUCUGAGAGGACGACCAGCCACACUGGGACUGAGACACGGCCCAG
rnacentral:rRNA from 1 species